rnacentral:lncRNA from 1 species
GACAGCUCGGAAUUUGUCGGCUUGCAUCGGUACAGUGCCGAGAUCCCGACGGCGUGUCGGGCAUUUCCGAAUGUUGCAUUUUACAGCGUCGGUGAAGAAUGGAGAAGCAAAGAAGAAUUAAAAUGGAGGACAUUUUUUAUCAAACUUAUCUUUAUUGGAAGGUAAUAUGCUUUAUUUAAUAUCAAUCCUUGUAGUAGAGUACUCAGACUGCCAAUAUAGAUGGAAAUUUAGGACAACAAACCCGAAUUCAAUGCGAUAUUUCGACAUAAAGUUUGUGCUUUUGGCCUUUUGCUUUGCACGUGGUUCGCUUUAUGGGCGAUUGUCGAACUUUAAACCGAGUAAAAAGACUAACUGAGAUCUAGAAUUGUUUAAGUUGUCGAAAAAGGUUGCUAUCUCUGAGUUCUUGCCGAAAAUUUUUCUUGGUGGGGCACUGGGGCUUCUCAGAUUAUGCAGGCUGAGGGUGGUUUGAAAAGAAGAUUGUUCUUUUGAAGAACAUCUGCUCCAGGCUCCACCAGCAGCAGUGUAAAGCCUUUUUUGAAUGGGCUGGCAAUGAUUCAGAUAAUUUCAAAAAAAUUAAAAGGACACCUGGAGUCAAAAUGAAGUUUCUAGUUAAAAAAAAAUCCAAUCAAAUUAUAACGUUUCCAAUGGUCGGCAUUUUUCUGAUCAAUUUUGAACAUUAGGCCACAUAAAAAAAUAGUAUGUUAGCGUCCUUAGCUUUUGCCAAAAAGUGGGCGGGUGGAUGCUUUUUUUAGAUUUUUACUAAUUUUUAACGCCUUGAUUUUAGGUCCGAAACUGGAUUUUCUUGCACAGUACAGAUAUUUUUAAAAUUAUUUCAAAAUAUGAUUCAUACCGUCAUUUUCGCACGCAAUUUCGCAACUUAUUAACACAAUUGACAACAGUCAACAGAAAUACUACAAUACUAAACAAGUAACCCGACCACUAGCCUGUGCACAUCCUGUAUUACCCUGUACUACAGGUACAGGGUAAUACAGGAUGUGCACAGGCUACCCGACCACAUCUAGAAAAAAUAUUAGGGCAGAGAAAAGAUUUUCGGUUUCAGUCUCAGGUGCUCCACACAUGUUCAUAUUGAGUUUGUCAUCUCGCUAGUCAAGCUAUUCACAUCCUCAGUAAAAUUCUCAUAAAUGUUUGUAGAUGUACAGUGGAAGUUUUAAGAAUGUUGCAAGCCCCUGCCUCAAGAUCUCGUGAUUACGAAAAAUGGACACAUUCCAAGAUCCUGAAUAAGAGGUAAAUGAUUUUUCUUCUAAUUAUUUUUAACAUUCUCCUUGUAUUUCUUGGAUAAUUUUUUUUGUAUUAUAUUAAUUUGUUUCAUGUUCUCAAUAGUGAGUUUUUUAGAUUUUCUAGAUGUGUGUUGCAAUUUCCAAGAAUGUCUCAAGUUGUUGGCUGAAGUGUUAUUGAUCACAAAAUGAACAGCGUCAUUGGAAAGUAUAUAAAAGGUCUUAAUAUUUUCCUGUUUUAUCUUACAUGAAAUGCUUUGAACAUUAUGUGAUUGCUUGUGAUCAAUGGUUUCAAAAAUCCCUGCAGAAUAUUGCAAAGAUAGCUUGACAAAAUUCAACAAAAAUUACAAACACAAUCUUUAUGCCUAAAUAUGGUGAGUGCAUAACAAUUGCACUCUUUUCAUUUGACUUGUAUUAAUUUGGAAAAUUUCAGUUUCAUGGCCCUCAAUUACUUGAUUAAGUUUUGUGUUGCCACUGAUCACAGAAAGUAUAUAAUUUUCAACGCAUAUAAGCAUUAUAUGAGCAAGCCAGAAAAUGACAAACUGUCAAAAUUUUGUUUAACAGUGAUGAUUUGGUUUCAAUAUGCAUUUUUUUUUGUUUGGCAUAAUAGGUAAAUCUUAAAGUGCAGAAUAUAUAAAUUUCUGUUUGUCUGUGUUCUACCUGAGAACAUAGUUGUUUCUACAUAUUUCCAAAGUUUUUGCAAAUAUAAAAAACUGAAAAGUUUGUCAUUAUUUGGCUUUGUUACAUCAGUUAAACAUUGAGAAGAUUGAGGUGGUCUUUAUUACAAACCAAAACGGUUACUUACAAAUAAAACAUACAACUCUAUUCAUUUUAAAGGGUUGAGUAUUUUCUUAUAGUCAUCUUUCAUGUUUCGGGAUUAAUUUGGAGCAUGUUUUCCUCGAAGGAUUAAAAGAACAUUGAUGAACAUUUUUCUUAUCAUAAUUUAUGUUUUGAACUUAUUGAACUGCAUUGUGAAAACUGCAAUUUAUGUCCCAUCUCAAUCUUCUCUUGUUUAAGUGGACUUACAUUGUUUGUUGAAAGUUUGGAAAGUUUAUCUGAAAAUCACAAUGUUUCUUUCAAUGUUGAUUCUGCAUGUUGAAUCUUACAAAAAGCAAUUAGUGAUCAAUUGAAGUAUACAACACUUUUAAAAUUAGCACUGUUAGAACUGCCUCGUUGUUUAACAGUCCUGUCUUAUUUAUCCCAGCACACUCUUAAUACAUGAGUUUGAUUAUUCCUGGACACAAAUAAAAUGGAUUUGUUAAGGAACAAGGCAGUUCUAUACAGUACUGACUCAUGGGAGGGUUGUGUUCUUCAGUUGUUUUUUUUAUCAUUCAAUUUCGGAAUUAAGAAAGCUUUCCCAACUUGAAAACAAACAGUUAAGGUCGAGAUAAGCUAGGAUAUUGCCUUUACUGUAUUAGAAAGUAGAACUUAUUUGAAUAUGGAUGAACUGAAGCAGCAAACUAUACUUAAUUUUUUUUUGGGGGGGGGGGGAUGUGAGAUAUUGAAAAUGAAAGAAAAUUGAUUGUCAUGCAUGGCAAGGAAAACCACAACCAGACUACUGCAUGAUGUUCUUUGGAAUAUGUUUUGUAUUAUAGGGAAGGAAAAACAAUCAGUAUUGAAAACUAUAUAUUAAUUAACAAUUAUUCGCCGAAGGAGAGGGUGACUAUCGGUGAAUAAAAACCGAGACAAAGUCGAGGUUUUUAUUCAUGAUAAUCACCGAGCCUGAGGUGAAUAAUUUUUUUAUUGUAUAAUUCCACAGGUGAUUAUUUGGGAGGAAAAAAAUACACAUUUCUUUGUCAUUUAAUUGACAAAACAUAAGGUGAAGCAAUCCAAUAAUUGGAAUAUUGAG